rnacentral:SRP_RNA from 1 species
UCGUGCUAGACGGGGAGCUAGCGGUGCCCUUUACCCGCAAUCCGCUACAGCGGGGUUGAACUCCUGCCCGCGGUCUGGCCGUUUGGGGAUAGUGUCUCGUUAAGCGGUGUUGAUAGUUGGGCCCUGCGCAAUGCACGGCGUGUGAACCCCGUCAGGUCCGGAAGGAAGCAGCGGUAAGCGCGAACGUCCAUGUGCCGCAGUGUGAUCCGGCUGGAGCCGACUGGCGGGAUAACCCUCGGGCGGUCUUAUCAGAGGCAGGUGCACGA